GUGCCCGGAAGGUUGGUACGUUACCGAGGGAGAGCGCCGACUAGGCCUCGGAUUCACGGCGCAGUGUUUCCGACAUUUAUGCAGUAACAUUUUGUUUUACAAUUAACAAAAUAAUCUUGAAACAAUAAAAUGUCUGCUCAAGCUCAAAUGAGAGCGAUGCUGGACCAGUUAAUGGGCACAUCCAGGGACGGAGAUGCAACACGACAACGUGUGAAAUUCUCAGAUGAUAGAGUUUGCAAGAGUCAUCUUCUUGGUUGCUGUCCUCAUGAUAUCCUUUCAGGAACGCGUAUGGACCUGGGAGAAUGCACAAAGAUUCAUGACCUCGCUUUGAGAGCUGAUUAUGAAAUUGCUGCAAAAGAACGAGAUUUAUUCUUUGAACUUGAUGCUAUGGAACAUCUUGAAAGUUUCAUCGUUGACUGUGAUAGAAGAACAGAUAUUGCCAAGAAGCGCUUGGCAGAAACACAAGAAGAAAUAAGUGCUGAAGUAGCUGCUAAGGCAGAAAAAGUACAUGAACUGAAUGAAGAAAUAGGAAAGCUUUUGGCUAAAGCUGAACAACUUGGAGCUGAAGGAAAUGUAGAAGAAUCUCAGAAAGUCAUGCAGGAAGUAGAAAGAGUGCGAACAAAAAAGAGGGAAGCAGAGGAUGAAUAUAGGAAUUCAAUGCCUGCUUCUAGCUUCCAGCAACAGAAACUGCGUGUCUGUGAAAUUUGUUCUGCGUACCUUGGCCUUCAUGAUAAUGAUCGCCGACUUGCUGAUCAUUUUGGAGGCAAGCUGCACUUGGGAUUCAUUCAAAUACGAGAGAAGCUAGAUCACCUAAAGAAAAUUGUUGCAGAGAAACAAGAAAGAAGGAAUCAAGAACGAUUAAAGCGAAGAGAAGAAAGAGAGAAAGAAGAGAGGAUGAAAAGAAAGUCCAGAUCACGUAGCAGGGAUCAUAAGCGAUCAAGGUCACGGGAUCACCGGCGGAGACGCUCUAGUUCUCCUGCUCACGAGCGACGUAGGUCUAGGUCAAGGUCCAGGUCCAGAGAACGAGAAAGACGCCGCAGGUACAGAUCUCGUUCACAUAGCCGCAGCAGAGGACAUUGUCGCAGCUCAAGAGACAAAAGCAGGGACCGGAGUUCAAAGCAUAAAUGCACCAACAAUUGUAUCAUCUCGGCUGGUUUGCAUCAGGGUUGAAAUGGAGUCAAUCUACAUAGCUGCAUACGGCAUCUUUUGAAGAGUUUGCCUUGUGGGCCGACUUGGCAGCUGAAAUAAUAGAGAUUUUCCAGUCCUGACGAGAUUGUAAUCUGGAUCUACUGAACAAAGCUGGCAACCUUUCCUUUACUGGAGCAGUUGUAAUUUACAUCACCUAUUAAGUGUCUUUAAGGUCGUAAAAUCACUCAUACUAAAUACAGAAAUCAAUUUUUCAGUGUUAACUAUGACUUCGUAAAUUCAAACUGUUUGAAAUUUAUUCAACGGUGAUCUGCAUUCCAUUGUGAUUUGAUGCUUGAGUUUCAGAAUUUGGUGUAAAAUAUGUUCAGUCCCAAAUGUUGAGGUAAUUCAAUGAAAUGUAGAGGACUCUUAAGAUCUUGUGACACAUUCUAACAAUAUCUGAUUAGAAACUUCAGUAAUACAGGUCUAAAGAAUGUAAAAUAGUUUUAUUCUAUAUUUUCAUUCUUUGCUUUUUCCACAUAAGACAUUUGCUCUUUCCUUUUCUUUUGGAGGGUGGCCAUGUAGGGAAGUUUAGCUUUAAUUUUGUCUAUCCUUACAAUCAAGAGAGUGUUUAAUUAAUGUCAGGUUGUUUAAUUCCAUUCUAUCUGGAUUUUUAUUUUUCAGUCGUUUGUGCCCCUCUAAUGUUCCCAUUAGUUCUGUUUACAUUGACUAAUUUUUUUUUCAGCCACCUUUUAUUGAAUAUUCCGGCUACAAUUCUUCUUGCCUGAUUGCUAUCAUGCAGCUGUAGCUUGUAGAUUUGUGUGACAGUGGAAGUCUGAGUUAACAGAUGAAGAAAGGUUGUAAUUCAAGUCCUGGUCUAUGGUAAAUAAAGAAUUUGAGUUACAGUUUUCAUUGAAGUAAGCAGGAUGUGGAGUCAGGAGGAUGAGGAGAUAGCACCAGAGUGGGAUUUGUUAACUUUUGUCCUGACCGUUUACUGUGACUGAAUAUGGAUUUUAUUUUUAAAUUGAAAGGUGCAGACUGAAGCAGAUGUACUUUGGAAACAGAUAGAAAACACUGAAGAUUUACAAAGGGGGGAGGUGGGAAGUAAUUGAAGUGUGGUAGCACUUUACUGUUUGGAGAAUUUCUGUAUGCCUUCACUGCAGUAUAAAGGAGGAGGAGUAAGGAAAAUAUAAGGCAUCAUCUUCUGAAAAGAAACAAAGUUGAAUAAUUGUGAAAAAUGAAGGUCUUCUGGAGAUCAGAGAAGGAAGCCCAAAUCAAAAAGAAAUUAAAAUAUUCUGACCCAUGUUGAAAAUAACCAAAGGUUGUUAAAAUCAAAGUGCAACCUCAAGGGCAAAGAUUUACUUAAAUAAAUCAAAGGACUUGUUUCUUUCAGACCAGAGGGCACAGCUUCAGAAUAGAGGAACAUCUAUUUAGAACAGAUAAGGAAAAUGUUCUUUAUCCAGAGGAUGAUGAAUGUGGAAUUCAUUUCCAUAGACAGCUGUGCAGGCCAAGUUAUUGGAUAUAUUUAAUGUGGAAGUUGAUAGAUGCUUGAUUAACCAGGGUGGUAACGGUUACAUGGAGCAGGCAGGAGAAUGGGAUUGACAGGGAUAAUAAAUAAGCCAUGAUGGUGUGACAGCAGAGUCGAUAGGCUGAAUGGCCUAAUUCUGCUCCCAUAUGUUAUGAUCUUAGUUAAAACACUAGGUAAAUUAAUAGUGCUCCUGCCGUGAGAAAAAUUGAAAGGAGGUAAAUGGAUUGAACAGGACAAUGGGGAUAAACACAAGAUUCGCCAUAUACACCAGUAACAGAUUAUUUAAAAGCAGAUAUAAUAGUAACACUAUGGAUUGUAUGAAAUUCUAGUUAGGGUUUAUAUUCACUGCUGUCUUUUUUAUGUAACAUUUCUGAAACUGAACCUUUUGUUAAUAAUAAUAAUAGGCACCUGUUAGUCUCAUGAGACCAUGGAUUUGCGCCUUGGAAGGUUUCCAGAGCACAGGCCUGGGCAAGGUUGUCUGGAAGACUGGCAGUUGCCCAUGCUGCAAGUCUCCCCUCUCUACGCCACCGAUGUUGUCCAAGGGAAGGGCAUUAGGACCCUUACAACUUGGCACCGGUGUUGUCGCAGAGCAAUGUGUGGUUAAGUGCCUUGCUCAAGGACACAACAUGCUGCCUCAGCCAAGGCUCGAACUAGUGACCUUCAGAUCACUAGACGAAUGCCUUAGCUGCUUGGCCACAUGCCAACAAUAGUAACAGAACUAAUAGAAUUUUGAUAGUCCAAGUUAUCAGAGUUAUGAAGGUCACACAAGUAAAUAGCUUGUAUCGAACCCAAAUAAAUAUCAACACAGAUGUGAGGAACUGAAUAGAUUACCUAUUACUUUGUGUAUAUCUUCACCCAGUUUUCUAUUCACUAUUGUAGUAUAAUGUCCUUCGAAGUUCUUGAUUUCCCCUUGCGGUCAUUCAAAAUUGGGUAUUAUGUUCACGACUAUAUUGAGCCUAGGUCACAAUGUUAUGUACGAGCCAUGCAGUAGGCAGUAGACAUGCUUAAGCAACACUUCUGUGAAUGAAAUAGAAUAAGGAAUUAUCUUGCAUUACCUGUAUUAUUUGGGACUUGCUGCUGACAGCCCACUUUAUCAAUGCAUCUGUGUUGGAGAGGGGAAGUGAACGAGGCCAUUUAGAUUAAUGAAAGGUGAUAUCAUGAACUGAAUGAAAUUCUGAAGGGGGAAUGUUUACACUGACUAAAGAAUCAAAGACCAUAUCUGUGGCAUCAGUACAAUUGUAUAUUUCUGAAAUAAAAACCAAAUGUGGUUUAAAAACUCAGCCACUCAAGCAGCGUUUGUGGAAAGCGAAACCAGUUAAUGUUUGUGAUAAGGCAUAUAGAGGUUAGGAUCUGGAAGAGGAGGGAAAGGUUUACAGUUUCUAGACCAGAGCUGGGAGAGGGGUAAAGUGCACAACAAAAGUCCAAAUGAAAAUGAGUUCAAGUGAUGAGGAGCAGAACUGACCAUUAGCAAGACAAAAGGGACAAAAACAUGAUCAGAGUAAAUGAUUAAAGUUCAAUUUAGCUGAAGUUGGAAAAUUCAAUGUUCAUCCAACCAAGAAAAUAUGUUAUUCUAAUUUAUGGUGGAUUUCAGUGCGGCCGCAGAAGAGGACACAGGUGUAAAAUGCUAAAAUGUGCCCCCUCUCUUUCUGACCUAUGAUGCUAGUGUUUCCCUGGCAUUUAUGAACAGCCCUUAUUCUGAAAUACCAUCCAGCAUAAGCGGCUUUUGUCUGGCAGACUUGUCCUUAUUUUCAUGAGUAAUGUACUAUUUAUAGAUUGGGAUAAAUAUUUCCAGAUCCUGAUUCUGCCUCACGAGUUCCCCUUACUGAUACUACAUUCAUCCUAGGUGUGAUGGAGUUCUGAAGUAAACUAUCCAGUUGUUCUACCCUUAAAAUUCAGUGUCAGAGUUCCUUUACGCUAGCUCAAUAAAUAAAAUUAUGCAUCUUGAAGGCUUUAGAAUAAAUGCAGUUAAUUACACAAACAUUAUGCUACAGGAUAAAAAUGUUCCAUGUUUACAGAAGUACAGGAGAUGGGGCUAGAGCUGGGAAGAAAAUACUUUCCGAAGUUCUGUAAACUCAGCUGUUUUGUACAUUGAACGUUUUAUCCUGUAUCUUAAUGCGAGGUUAUGUGCUCGGAUCGCUUAAGACUGGAACCCAUAAUUUGAGGCAACAUUUGCCGCAGGUGACAGACACAUUUAAGUCAUAUUUGGAAUGCAGCAUUUUUACUAAACCUGGUUAAGCUAUAGUGAAAUAGUUUAAUUAAGUGGCAGGUCACGUAAUGUAAUAAAGCACUAUUUUAAUUUGUACAUAGUUUGAUUUAAACCUGUUCAUUUCAAUAUUAAAUCAAGGGCAAGGGGGUUAGGUUAUUACAGUCAAUAGAAGGUGAGCUAAUUUGAGAAGCAGCAAGUAAAUUGUGUCCAAUCAACUUCUAACAACUCCGAUUGAAGGAAGAACGGAAAAUUGUGAGAGGUGUGCAAUUUGCAUUAUUUUGAACUCCUGGGGAGCAAUUAUCUCAGUUUUGAUCCCUCCCCUUGCUCCCACAAUGAAUGUGGGAGUGUCAAGGAGGAUUGAAGAGUGGAAACAUGGAGAAUAGAAAUACAUCAUUCCAUGCACAAGGUCAUAAUUACAUUAUAUUGCCCUGAAUUUUAUCAUCUUUUCAGUUUGACUAGUUUCAGUUGAUGUAAUACUCAGCCCUUCCCAUCAUCUCAGCCAUCCAUUAUAUGUUGUAUUAUUAUGCAAAUUUAGCACUUGAGAAUGUAUGCCGUGUGUUUGCCUCAAUUGCUUUUUGUAUUGGUAAAUUCCACAUUUCAACAAUUCUUUAUUUCACUAAUGGAUUUAUUAGCUGUUUUGUGUUAUCUAUGUAUUUAAUUUUGCACCAUCUCGCAAGUAUGCACCACACAUGUCCCACUCUUAAUGGUUCCAGUGGUUACCUCAAAGUCUUCUCUAAAGGAAUCAUUCAAUCCUUUACAGUCUUUCCUGGUCAUUGUGACCUUAGUUCAGAUGCUAUCCUGUGAAGCAUAUUUGUGUAUUCUUCAAUUCCAAAAUCCUGGAAAUAAACCCACUGUUAGCAUUUUCAUUACAUUGUUGCCUUCAGUGCUACUUUUAAUGUCUUGUUAAAGUGAUUUCUUUGCAUUUCUAUCCAUUCAAUUUGUUUUCUGUGAUAUAGAAAAGUAAAGUUCCAUUUUCAAAUGACUUCCUUAUCCUUUUUACACCACAAAAUGCAUUGAAACCAAUUAAAUACUACAAAAAUAUUGUAAUUUCAAUAUGGAAAAUAUGGUGAGGAGGCAGAGCUAAAGCCUUAAUGGAUUAAGAAGGAAGCAUGCAUAGGCUGGAGUGUUUUGACCUUGAAAGUUGAGCCAUGGAGUAAGUGCAUAGCAUGUUCUCUCAAACAUCAAAGUGUCCAUGGUUAACUCUAUUUUAGUGGUGUUGAUGGAGCAACAAAUGUGAUAUUCCUGUUCAAAUUAUUUGCAAAUUAAUUUCAAAUAUUAAUGCUGAAUUGCUAGUUCCUCUGUUCAAAUCAUAUGCAAAGAUUAUGAAAGAUACUAGCUCUGUCCAUGAACCUUAGAUAUUCUAUUAGGGUUCUUUGACAAUGUAUGUAGCAGAAUAGGUCCACAAGGAUCCUGUCUGGUUUAAGUGUCCUAAACCUUUUUCCUCCUGAUUAAAUUUAGGAUCUUUCAGGUCAUCCAAUGUUCCCUUACCAUUCUUGCCUCUUCUGGAACAUGCUAUUCCUGAUGUCUGAUCAGCUGAUCUUUAAGCAACUCCUACAUGUCAGUGGAGGCCUUGUCCACAGAACACUUAACUCCCAAUCAAUGCCACUUAGCUCCUGUGUUAUUCUGUUAUAAUUUGCCUUCCCCUAAUUUAGAUUCUUCCCUGAAGAUCCAAGGUACAGUCAACAUGGCUUUGUGCAUGGUAAGUUCUAACCAAUCUUAGAGUUUUCAAGGAAGUUAACAGAAAAAUUCAUGAAGGCAAGCUGGUGCACCCUGUCUAGUGGACUUUAUUGAGACCUUUUAAAGGGUCCUGCAUGGGAGGUGGUCAAAGUUCAGUCACUUGGUAUUCAAGAUGAGGUAGUAAAUUGGAUUAAACAUUGGAUUCCUGGAAGAAGCCACAGUGGUUGUAGAUGGUUGCCUCUCUGACUAGUGGUAUGCUGCAGGGGCUUGUGCUGGAUCUUGUUGUUUAUCAUCUGUAUCAACAAUCUGGAUGUUAAUGUAAUCUGGAUCAGCAAAUUUGUGAAUAACACCAAGAUUUAGGGUCUAGUUGACAGCGAGGAAGACUCAAAGCUUGCAGUGGGAUCUGGACCAGCUGGGAAAAUGGCAGAUGAAAUUUAAUACAGGCAAAUGUGAGAUGUUGCACUUUGGGAGGACCAAUCAUGGUAGGUCUUAGAUGGUUAGUUGUGGGGCACCAAAGAGUGCAGUAGAAGAAGAUGAAUCUGAAUACAGAUUCAUGAUGCCUUUAUAGUGGUGUCACAGUAGAUAGGGUCUUAAAGCAAACUAUUGACACAUUGGCCUUCAUAAAUCAAUAUAUUAAGUACAGGUAUUGAGAUGUGUUUUUAAAAAAGUAUAAGAAUAUAAGUUGCCUGGUUUUCUGCAUUACUCAUAAAAUGUGGUCUGAUCUUCAUCCAAGUUACAGUAAAUAGACAAACAUCCGUCUAAUAACACACAAACAAUUGCAAUUUUCAUGUCUUUAUUGAACACAUUGUUUAAUUAUUCACAGUCCAGGCUGGUAACAGUAUUUGAACCCUUGUAGUUAACAACUGGCAGAACCCCUUUGGCAGCAAUAAGCUCCACAAAACUUUUCCUGUAGCUGAUCAGAUUUGCACACUGACAAGGAGGAAUUUUAGACCAUUCCUCCAUACAAACUUUCAGUUCAUUGAUAUUUCUGGGAUGCCUUGCAUGAACAGCCUCUUCAGGUCAUGCCUUAGCAUCUCAAUUGGACUAGGGUCUGGACUCAUUGAGUUGGCCUUUACAAAACAUGAGUGUUCUUUUUAAACCAUUCUGUUGUUGAUUUGCUCUUGUGCUUUGGAUCAUUUGUGGCAUUAUCUAGCUUCCAUGGACCGCUACCCUGACAUUCUCCUGUAAAAUAUCUUGAUAAAAUUUGGAUUCCCCUCAGCAAUUGCAAGCUAUCCAGGCCCUGAGGCAGCAAAUCUGCCCCAAACCACGACACCCUUCCCACGUGUUUCACUGUUGGUAUGAGGUUUUAGUGUUAGUCCGCGGUGCCUUUUUUUCUCCAAACAUAGAAGUGUGCAUCUGUGCCAAAUACCUCAACUUUUGUCUCAUCUGUUCACAGAACAUUUCCCCAGAAGCGCUGUGGAACAUACAGGUGGUCUUUUGCAAAUUUGAGAUGUGCAGCAUCUUUUUUUUAGUUUUUGGAGUGCAGUGGUUUCCUACAUAGUGUCCUUCCAUGAACGCCAUUCUUGUUCAAUGUUUUUCUUAUAGUGGACACAUGAACAGAGACUUCAGCAAUUCUAGAGAUUUCUGCAGGUCUUUUGCUAUUACCCUUGGACUCUCUUUCAUCUCCUUCGACAUUGCAUGUUGUGCUCUCAGUAUGAUUUUUGCAGGACACCCACUCCUAGGGAAAGUAGCAACAGUACUAAAAUUUCUUGCAGACAUUUUCUCUAACUGUGGACUGAUGAACACUCGGGUCUUUAGAAAUGCUUUUGUAGCCUUUUCCAGCUUCAUGCAUCUCUACAGUUCUCCUAAGGUCCCCUGAAAGUUGUUUUGAUUGAGGCAUAGUGCACGUAAGUAGACCUUUUUUGAGAAGAACAGGCUCAGUAACCUGACUUUGAGUUUUUUUUAUAUAAGGCAGGGCACCUCUACAAUCCACACCCCCAAUCUCAUUGAUUGGAGCACCUGACUCCAAAAUAGCUUUUGUAGAAGGCAUUACCACAGAUGUUUACUACUCUUUUUGAACCUAGACUGUGAUUGCUUAAAUGGUGUACUCAGUGUUGACGAAAAGUACAGUUGUUUGUGUGUUACUAGUUUAGGCAGAUUGUAUUUGUCUAUUAUUGUGAUUUACAUGAAGUUUAUGAGUAAUUAAUGCAAAAACCAGGUAAUUGCAAAGGGUUCAUAAACAUUUUCGUGCAGAUAUAUAGCAUCUGAUCUUGUCAUCUUCCUCUCAAACUAUAGGGUGAAUUCUAUCAUGAUCACUGCCUCCUAGGGGUUCCUUUACCUUAAACUCCCUAAUCAAAUCUCAUUCAUUACUCAACACCCAACCCUGAAUUGCUUUUCCCCUAGUGGGCUUAACCAAGUUGCUCUAAAGAGCCAUCUUGUAGGAAUUUACAAAUUCCCUUGGGAUGCAGCACCAACCUGGGUUUCCCAGUUUACCUCAUAUUGAAAUACCCCAUAUUUAUCAUAACUUUGCCCUUAUUACAUGCUUUUUCUAUUUCUCAUUGAAAUUUAAAUCCCACAUUCUGGUUACUGCUUGGGGCCCUGCAUAUAACUUGCAUCAGGGUCUUUUUACCCUUGUAGUUUCUCAAAUCUACCCACAAGAUUUCCAUAUCUUCUGAUCCUAUCUCAUUUCUUUCUAAGGAUUUGAUUUCAAUUUUUACCGCCCUUCCCUUGACUUUGUAAUACAUUGUGCAUCCUUGGAUAUUAAGCUCCAAACUAUCAUCUUCUUUCAGGCACAAUUCAGUGAUGCCUAUAAUGUCACACUUCCCAAUGUUUAAUUUUGCUACCUUAUUCCUUAAACUGAGCAUUCAAAUAGAAUACAUUUAAUCCUGUAGUCAUCACCCUUUUGACUUUGCCCCCAUGUUACACUUCAAUUCAUCCCACUGUCUGCAACUUUGCCCUAUUAUCUGCCUCUCCACCCUUAGACUCACUACACAGCACAACAAUGUCUACACUAACUACCUCUUCCUCAGCCACAUUAUUCCAGUCCCCCCACCCCCCGCUAACUUAACCCCUCCCCCAGCAGCUCUUGCAAACCUGCUCACAAGGAUAUUGGUCUUCCUUAGGUUCAGGUCAGGUGUAACCCAACCUUCUUGUACAGGUCAUACCUUCCCCAGAAGAGACCCCAAUGAUCCAGAAAUCUGAAACCCUGUGGCUUUGUAACUUUGGCAACUCAUUCAUCAGUACUGUUAUCCUAUUCCUGCCCUGAUUGUCCUGCCAAAGUGUCUCGACCCAAGAUGUCGACUGUGCUCUUUUCCGUAGAUGCUGCCUCGCCUGUUGAGUUCCUUCAGCAUUUUGUGUGUGUUACACGGUAUUUGGAGUAGUUCAGAGAUAACCACCUUGGAGGUCAGCCUCUUCCCUAUACCUACCAAUCUCUUAAACUCAUCCUUCUUGCAUAUAAUAAUCCUAGCAUUGUAAUAAGCACAUCGGUCCCAGCAUAUUUAUUAGUUUGACCUUUGUUGUCCUUUUAAUCUUGUCAUACCACCUCACCCUCAACCCUACCACUUGUUAUUGUGAUUCCUAUCCUCCAGCCAUUCUAGUCUCGGCCCGAAACGUCGACAGUACCUCUUCCUGUAUAUGCUGCCUGGCUGCUGCAAUUUUUAUGUGUAUUGCUAGUUUAAGCUGUCCUGUGCAAGUCAAGCAAACAGGACGAGGAUAUUAUUCCCCUCCAUGUGAGAUGCAAACUGCAUUGUUUGUGCAGGUUCUCCCUGUCUUGAAAAAGACUGGAACGAUGAGGGAAAAUGUGAGUUAAGUCACCUUGGUAAGAAAAGCAGUAAUGCUAACUAUUUUGGAAUUGGGUAUUGAUGAUGUUCAAGGAGACCUAUUUAUCCUUGCAUCUGAGCCUCUUAAAGCUAACAUAUGUAGGUGCAACGGGGAUUUAGGAAAGACUGUCCAGUGAACCAACUGGCACGACUGUAGUCAUUAGAUUGGUAAAACGAUCACCCUUUUCUUCUAAUUGUGUUUUUUAUGUACGAAUUGAGUGUAAUCUGUGUUUAGUUUGCUUCUCUUGUGAAUCCUGCAUAUAUAAUGCUUUGUGCCUGUAAUGUUGCUGCAAGCAAGUUUUUUCAUUACACGUGCAUAUGACAAUAAACUCUGCUAUUUAUUGCAAGAAGCUUUGCAUAGAAGAAUAAAGAUGACAAUUAUGCAAGAUUACUUAUCCUCGAUAAGACCACACCUAGAGCAUGAAUUAUGACAGUAGCCUUUUGAAAUUGGCCAGCAACUCGUCUCCAAGCAGUCUGAUUAAUAUUUGUGAGGUCGGCUUUCUUAUUGCUACUGAUUUUCAUCUGGGUUUGCAAAGUUGUGUUUUCAACUGAAUUGUUGAGCUUCUAUUCAAUAGUAUUAAUGUCAGUUCAAUAUCGUAUGUCGUAAACUGUAACUUGGUGUUAGUAUAAUCAGAAUCAGGUUUAUUAUCACUGACAUGUCACAGAACUUGAUGUUUGUAGCAGCAGCACGCUGCAAUACAUAAAAAUUAAGUUGGAAUAUAAAUAGUGUGAAAGAGGAAUAAGGAGGUUAUGUCCAUGGACCAUACAGAAAUCUGAUGUUAGUGGGGAAGAAGUUGUUCCUGCAACACUGAGUGUACCUCCUCCAUAAUGGUAGUAAUGAGAAGAGAACAUGUCCCAGAUGGUGACAGUACCUAAUGAUGGAUGCACCUUUAGGCACCACCUUUUCAAGACGUCUUUGAUGGUGAGAUUGUACCCGUGAUGAAGCUGGCUAAGUUUACAACCCUCUGCAGCUUUUUUUGAUCCUGUGCAUUGGAGCCUCCAUGUCUGCAAGCAGUCAGGAUGUUCUCCAUGACAUUUGCUGGAGUUUAUAGUAACACACCAAAUCUCCCAAGCUCCUAAUGAAAUACAGUCUUCAUGAUUGCUUCAAUGUGUUGGGUCCAAGAUCGACCCUCUAUAGUUAUUAGUCUUAUUAAGGCUUUAUUGAGUA